rnacentral:rRNA from 1 species
AUACGGAGGGGGUUAGCGUUGUUCGGAAUUACUGGGCGUAAAGCGUACGUAGGCGGAUUAGUAAGUUAGGGGUGAAAUCCCGAGGCUCAACCUCGGAACCGCCUCUAAAACUGCUAGUCUUGAGUUCGAGAGAGGUGAGUGGAAUUCCUAGUGUAGAGGUGAAAUUCGUAGAUAUUAGGAGGAACACCAGUGGCGAAGGCGGCUCACUGGCUCGAUACUGACGCUGAGGUACGAAAGUGUGGGGAGCAAACAGGAUUAGAAACCCUAGUAGUCC